GACGAACGCUGGCGGCGUGCUUAACACAUGCAAGUCGAACGAAGUGGCGCACGGGUGAGUAACGCGUAAUCAAACUGCCCUUCCGAGGGGGACAACAGUUGGAAACGACUGCUAAUACCACAUACUGAAGGAGGAGAUUGCGUCGGAUGGGCUCGUUGGAGGGGUAACGGCCCACCAAGGCGAUGAUCAGUAGCCGGGCUGCGAGGAUGAACGGCCACAGUGGGACUGAGAAACGGCCCAGACUCCUACGGGAGGCAGCAGUGGGGAAUCUUCCGCAAUUGACGAAAGUCUGACGGAGCAACGCCGCGUGAGUGAUGACGGCCUUCGGGUUGUAAAGCUCUGUUAAGCGGGACGCGGUACCGGAAUAGAAAGCCACGGCUAACUACGUGCCAGCAGCCGCGGUAAUUC
rnacentral:rRNA from 1 species